UAGGGAAUCUUAGACAAUGGGGGCAACCCUGAUCUAGCCAUGCCGCGUGUGUGAUGAAGGCCCUAGGGUCGUAAAGCACUUUCGCCAGAGAUGAUAAUGACAGUAUCUGGUAAAGAAACCCCGGCUAACUCCGUGCCAGCAGCCGCGGUAAUACGGAGGGGGUUAGCGUUGUUCGGAAUUACUGGGCGUAAAGCGCACGUAGGCGGAUUAGUAAGUUAGAGGUGAAAUCCCAGGGCUCAACCCUGGAACUGCCUUUAAUACUGCUAGUCUUGAGUUCGAGAGAGGURAGUGGAAUUCCGAGUGUAGAGGUGAAAUUGUAGAUAUUUGGAGGAACACCAGUGGCGAAGGCGGCUUACUGGCUCGAUACUGACGCUGAGGUGCGAAAGUGUGGGGAGCAAACAGGAUUAGAUACCCUGGUAGUCCACACCGUAAACGAUGAAUKCCAGACGUCAGCAAGUAUACUUGUUGGUGUCACACCUAACGGAUUAA
rnacentral:rRNA from 1 species